UUGGAGGGCAAGUCUGGUGCCAGCAGCCGCGGUAAUUCCAGCUCCAAUAGCGUAUAUUAAAGUUGUUGCAGUUAAAAAGCUCGUAGUUGAAUUUCGGGAUUAGUACGCUGGUCGUGCCUUCGGUACGUACUGGUGUUACUGAUUUCUACCUUCUGACGAACCAUCAUGUCAUUAAUUUGGUGUGGUGGGGAAUCAGGACUGUUACUUUGAAAAAAUUAGAGUGUUUAAAGCAGGCUCGCGCUUGAAUACAUUAGCAUGGAAUAAUGAAAUAGGACGUUGAUCCUAUUUUGUUGGUUUCUAGGAUUGACGUAAUGAUUAAUAGGGAUAGUUGGGGGCAUUAGUAUUCAAUUGUCAGAGGUGAAAUUCUUGGAUUUAUUGAAGACUAACUACUGCGAAAGCAUUUGCCAAGGAUGUUUUCAUUAAUCAAGAACGAAAGUUAGGGGAUCGAAGACGAUCAGAUACCGUCGUAGUCUUAACCAUAAACUAUGCCGACUAGGGAUCGGAUGAUGUUAUUUUUAAUGACUUAUUCGGCGCCUUACGGGAAAC
rnacentral:rRNA from 1 species